UACAGAGGGUGCGAGCGUUAAUCGGAAUUACUGGGCGUAAAGGGCGCGUAGGCGGUUAGGCAAGCUAGAUGUGAAAACUCAGAGCUUAACUUUGAGAGUGCAUUUAGGACUGUUUAGCUAGAGUAGAGUAGAGGGAAGUGGAAUUUCCGGUGUAGCGGUGAAAUGCGUAGAUAUCGGAAAGAACAUCAGUGGCGAAGGCGGCUUCCUGGACUUAUACUGACGCUGAGGCGCGAAAGCAUGGGUAGCAAACAGG
rnacentral:rRNA from 1 species